UGGGGAAUUUUCCGCAAUGGGCGAAAGCCUGACGGAGCAAUCUCGCGUGAGGGAUGACGGCCUAUGGGUUGUAAACCUCUUUUUUCAGGGAGGAAUCAAUGACGUGUACCUGAAGAAUAAGCAUCGGCUAACU
rnacentral:rRNA from 1 species